rnacentral:rRNA from 1 species
GAUGAACGCUGGCGGCGUGCCUAAUACAUGCAAGUCGAGCGAACAGACGAGGAGCUUGCUCCUCUGACGUUAGCGGCGGACGGGUGAGUAACACGUGGAUAACCUACCUAUAAGACUGGGAUAACUUCGGGAAACCGGAGCUAAUACCGGAUAAUAUAUUGAACCGCAUGGUUCAAUAGUGAAAGACGGUUUUGCUGUCACUUAUAGAUGGAUCCGCGCCGCAUUAGCUAGUUGGUAAGGUAACGGCUUACCAAGGCGACGAUGCGUAGCCGACCUGAGAGGGUGAUCGGCAACACUGAAACUGGGACACGGUCCAGACUCCAACGGGAGGCAGAAGUAGGGAAUCUUCCGAAAGGGGCGAAAGCCUGACGGAGCAACGCGGCGUGAGUGAUGAAGGUCUUCGAUUCGAAAACCCCUUUUAUUAGGGAAAAACAAAUGUGUAAGUACCUAUGAAGUUUUGGACGUGACCUAAUCAGAAAGCACGGCUAACUACGU